rnacentral:rRNA from 1 species
AGCGAACGCUGGCGGCAGGCUUAACACAUGCAAGUCGAGCGGGCGUAGCAAUACGUCAGCGGCAGACGGGUGAGUAACGCGUGGGAACGUACCUUUUGGUUCGGAACAACACAGGGAAACUCGUGCUAAUACCGGAUAAGCCCUUACGGGGAAAGAUUUAUCGCCGAAAGAUCGGCCCGCGUCUGAUUAGCUAGUUGGUGUGGUAACGGCGCACCAAGGCGACGAUCAGUAGCUGGCUGAGAGGAUGAUCAGCCACAUUGGGACUGAGACACGGCCCAAACUCCUACGGGAGGCAGCAGUGGGGAAUAUUGGACAAUGGGCGCAAGCCUGAUCCAGCCAUGCCGCGUGAGUGGAUGAAGGCCCUAGGGUUGUAAACCUCUUUCACCACCGACGAAGCUAACGUGACGGUAGGUGGGGAAGAAGCGCC